UACGAAGGGGGCUAGCGUUGCUCGGAAUCACUGGGCGUAAAGCGCACGUAGGCGGAUUCUUAAGUCAGGGGUGAAAUCCUGGAGCUCAACUCCAGAACUGCCUUUGAUACUGGGGAUCUCGAGUCCGGGAGAGGUGAGUGGAACUGCGAGUGUAGAGGUGAAAUUCGUAGAUAUUCGCAAGAACACCAGUGGCGAAGGCGGCUCACUGGCCCGGUACUGACGCUGAGGUGCGAAAGCGUGGGGAGCAAACAGG
rnacentral:rRNA from 1 species